rnacentral:rRNA from 1 species
AUACGUAGGGGGCGAGCGUUGUCCGGAAUGAUUGGGCGUAAAGGGCGCGUAGGCGGCCCGGUAAGUCUGGAGUGAAAGUCCUGUUUUUAAGAUGGGAAUUGCUUUGGAUACUGUCGGGCUUGAGUGCAGGAGAGGUAAGUGGAAUUCCCAGUGUAGCGGUGAAAUGCGUAGAGAUUGGGAGGAACACCAGUGGCGAAGGCGACUUACUGGACUGUAACUGACGCUGAGGCGCGAAAGUGUUGGGAGCAAACAGGAUUAGAUACCCUGGUAGUCCACACUGUAAACGAUGAAUGCUAGGUGUAGGGGGUAUCGACCCCUUCUGUGCCGCAGUCAACACAAUAAGCAUUCCGCCUGGGGAGUACGGCCGCAAGGUUGAAACUCAAAGGAAUUGGCGGGG